GCAGUCGAACGGUGAUGUCAGAGCUUGCUCUGGCGGAUCAGUGGCGAACGGGUGAGUAACACGUGAGUAACCUGCCCCUGACUCUGGGAUAACUGCUAGAAAUGGUAGCUAAUACCGGAUAUGACGAUUGGCCGCAUGGUCUGGUCGUGGAAAGAAUUUCGGUUGGGGAUGGACUCGCGGCCUAUCAGGUUGUUGGUGAGGUAAUGGCUCACCAAGCCUACGACGGGUAGCCGGCCUGAGAGGGUGACCGGCCACACUGGGACUGAGACACGGCCCAGACUCCUACGGGAGGCAGCAGUGGGGAAUAUUGCACAAUGGGCGAAAGCCUGAUGCAGCAACGCCGCGUGAGGGAUGACGGCCUUCGGGUUGUAAACCUCUUUUAGUAGGGAAGAAGCGAAAGUGACGGUACCUGCAGAAAAAGCACCGGCUAACUACGUGCCAGCAGCCGCGGUAAUACGUAGGGUGCAAGCGUUGUCCGGAAUUAUUGGGCGUAAAGAGCUCGUAGGCGGUUUGUCGCGUCUGCUGUGAAAUCCCGAGGCUCAACCUCGGGUCUGCAGUGGGUACGGGCAGACUAGAGUGCGGUAGGGGAGAUUGGAAUUCCUGGUGUAGCGGUGGAAUGCGCAGAUAUCAGGAGGAACACCGAUGGCGAAGGCAGAUCUCUGGGCCGUAACUGACGCUGAGGAGCGAAAGCAUGGGGAGCGAACAGGAUUAGAUACCCUGGUAGUCCAUGCCGUAAACGUUGGGAACUAGAUGUGGGGACCAUUCCACGGUCUCCGUGUCGCAGCUAACGCAUUAAGUUCCCCGCCUGGGGAGUACGGCCGCAAGGCUAAAACUCAAAGGAAUUGACGGGGGCCCGCACAAGCGGCGGAGCAUGCGGAUUAAUUCGAUGCAACGCGAAGAACCUUACCAAGGCUUGACAUAUACCGGAAACAUGCAGAGAUGUGUGCCCCGCAAGGUCGGUAUACAGGUGGUGCAUGGUUGUCGUCAGCUCGUGUCGUGAGAUGUUGGGUUAAGUCCCGCAACGAGCGCAACCCUCGUUCUAUGUUGCCAGCACGUCAUGGUGGGAACUCAUAGGAGACUGCCGGGGUCAACUCGGAGGAAGGUGGGGAUGACGUCAAAUCAUCAUGCCCCUUAUGUCUUGGGCUUCACGCAUGCUACAAUGGCCGGUACAAAGGGCUGCGAUACCGUAAGGUGGAGCGAAUCCCAAAAAGCCGGUCUCAGUUCGGAUUGAGGUCUGCAACUCGACCUCAUGAAGUCGGAGUCGCUAGUAAUCGCAGAUCAGCAACGCUGCGGUGAAUACGUUCCCGGGCCUUGUACACACCGCCCGUCAAGUCAUGAAAGUCGGUAACACCCGAAGCCAGUGGCCUAACCGCAAGGGAG
rnacentral:rRNA from 1 species